UACGUAGGGUGCAAGCGUUGUCCGGAAUUAUUGGGCGUAAAGAGCUCGUAGGCGGUCUGUCGCGUCGGAUGUGAAAACCCGGGGCUUAACCCCGGGCCUGCAUUCGAUACGGGCAGACUCGAGUGUGGUAGGGGAGACUGGAACUCCUGGUGUAGCGGUGAAAUGCGCAGAUAUCGGAAGGAACAUCAGUGGCGAAGGCGACUUCCUGGACCAAUACUGACGCUCAGGUGCGAAAGCGUGGGGAGCAAACAGG
rnacentral:rRNA from 1 species